UUUUAAGUUUUGUUAUAAAACAAAGUAAUAACUUAAUAGUAGUUAAGAUUUCGUUUUUUAAGGUAGAAUAUUUUAUUCAUAUAUAUGAGUAUAAGAGUGGUUAUAAUUUUGGUCGUUGUCAUUUACAUGUUCGUGUUUGAUUAUAUAUAUAUAUGAAGUAGUUGUCAUAAGAGUUAACAGAAUUAAAAUGUGUUUGUAUAAUAAACUUGGUUCUGAUUUUGUUAUAGCGUUAACUAAAAAAUACACAUGGUUUCGAUUGAGGUAAGCGAGGUGAAAACGAAGUUGUAUAGCGAUUAAUUGUUAUAAUAAAUUUAUUUUUGUGGUAUUAUUUUAUACAUGAUAUCUUGAAAAGUCCCGCUAACACCAGUGUUUAAGAUUAAAAAAAGAGUGAGAGCUUGAAUUAGUUUAGUUAUUUAGGUCUGGUUAAAUUAGUGCCAGCAUCCGCGGUUAAACUAAUGGAUCUAGUUAUAUUUUAAGGUAAAAAGGUGGUUAGGUAUAUAUAUAUAAUAAUAGUCUCAUGAUUGUCUAUAAUAAAGGUAAAAUUGUUGUGUAGAUUAAUAAAUCAAAAGUUACUACGUCAUACUGAAUCUACGAUGGCCUUGAGGGAAACUGGGAUCGGAUACCCCACUAUUCUCGGUUGUAAAUAAAUGUUAAAUUUACCAGAGUACUACGAACAAUAAAAAAUUUAAAACUCAAAGAACUUGGCGGUGUUUUAGACCAAUUAGGGGAACCUGUCUCGUAAUCGAUAGUCCACGCUAUACCUGACCUUUUAUUGCGAUUACCAGUUUGUACACCGUUGUCAUCAGUUAACCUUUUAGAGUAAUGUGAGUUAGCAAAAAAAUUUAUAGAUAAAUUUAAAUGUCAAAUCAAGGUGCAACUUAUGAGAAGGAGAAGAUGGGUUACAAUUAAAACUUAUAAGAUGGAUUAGAUAAUGAAAUUUGACUAUGAAGGAGGACUUAAAAGUAAGGUUGUUAUAUAAAAAUAGUCUGAAUCUGGCUCUGAAAUGUGCACAAAUCGCCCGUCGCUCUCGUUGAAAAAGGAGAUAAGUCGUAACAUAGUAGGGAUAAUGGAAAUUGUUCCUGAGUUA
rnacentral:rRNA from 1 species